rnacentral:rRNA from 1 species
UUGGAGGGCAAGUCUGGUGCCAGCAGCCGCGGUAAUUCCAGCUCCAAUAGCGUAUAUUAAAGUUGUCGCAGUUAAAAAGCUCGUAGUUGAAUUUUAGGCCUGGUUGGACGGUCUGCUCUAGGGUUUGUACUGUCCUGACUGGGUCUUACCUUCUGGUGAGCUGUCGUAUUGUUUACUCAGUGCGGCAGGGAACCAGGACUUUUACUUUGAAAAAAUUAGAGUGUUUAAAGCAGGCAUUCGCUUGAAUACAUUAGCAUGGAAUAAUAGAAUAGG